UACGUAGGGUGCAAGCGUUGUCCGGAUUUACUGGGCGUAAAGGGCGCGUAGGCGGUCGUGACAAGUCACUUGUGAAAUCUCCGGGCUUAACUCGGAACGGUCAAGUGAUACUGUCGGACUAGAGUACAGAAGGGGCAACUGGAAUUCUCGGUGUAGCGGUGAAAUGCGUAGAUAUCGAGAGGAACACCUGCGGCGAAGGCGGGUUGCUGGACCGUGACUGACGCUGGAGGCACGGAAAGCGUGGGUAGCAAACAGG
rnacentral:rRNA from 1 species